GAUGAACGCUAGCGGGAGGCUUAACACAUGCAAGUCGAGGGGCAGCAUAGGGUAGCAAUACUCUGAUGGCGACCGGCAAACGGGUGAGUAACGCGUAUGCAACCUACCCUGUACAGGGGGAUAACCCGGAGAAAUUCGGACUAAUAUCCCGUAAUAAUAUCCGGAGGCAUCUUUGGAUAUUUAAAGUUUCGACGGUACGGGAUGGGCAUGCGUAACAUUAGCUGGUUGGUAAGGUAACGGCUUACCAAGGCUAUGAUGUUUAGGGGUCCUGAGAGGGUGGUCCCCGACAACGUGGUACUGAGACACGGACCAGACUCCUACGGGAGGCAGCAGUGAGGAAUAUUGGUCAAUGGGCGCAAGCCUGAACCAGCCAUCCCGCGUGCAGGAAGACGGCCCUAUGGGUUGUAAACUGCUUUUCCAGGGAGAGAAACUUACGCACGUGUUGCGUGACUGACGGUACCCUGGGAAUAAGCAUCGGCUAACUCCGUG
rnacentral:rRNA from 1 species